GUGGAGAAGAAGGAUUCAUGUAGCCGACCCCAUUUGAUGGGACUUAAGGCUUGGUUUGGCUUGGUUUGAUGCACUAGAGAUAAAGACAAGAAUUCAAUGUUUGGUUCUAUUCAAAAGGACAAUAAUAAAAGUUCUAAGGAGGGGAAGAGGAAGGUGGGUGAACGUGAUAAUGCCGAGGACUAUCAACCACUUGAUGAUGAUGAAGGACUGAGUUCUUCAAGUGAUGAUGGCGAGCCAUUUGAUUCUCAAGUGAAUGAGGAUAUUCAUAUGGGUCCCGGUAGUUAAACAAGUAGGUCUGCAGCUUGCCUAAUAGCUUCACAAACACCUAAGGAAGAGAUAAGUACUCCUGAUGAAGAUACACUUACUCUUCCAAAACGACCUUUAGUGGCACAAGUCAAUCAUUCAAAGAGCACACCUGAGGUGUUGACCCAACCUAUCCAUCUUUCUGCCUUAUAUACUAGGCCCGAUCAGCUCCCUACCUUAGCCACUUGCCUUGACCACCUUUCGAGCCCAUGUACUGUCACUAACAGUGGAGCAUCAAUUCGAGUUUUGGGCAAGAAGCGUAUGCGGGACCGACUCAAGGAAAGAAUACGGAGUAGAUUAGAAAGGAACAUGGUAAUCGAAUACCUGUUACACUUAACCGUUUGACCAAAGCAAUAGAAGGGGAUUACGUCACACCGUUAGAAGCUGCUCUUGGUCAACAAAUGCGAGUUCAUGCCCCAGUCCGAAAUGAUGGAUGGAUAGCCAUUGAAUUUGGGUUAAGAGAGUCCAUUGUUACAAGAGUUUGGGUAGUUUUAAUUAUACGUAUUAUAUAUUCAACAUGUUAUUUAUCUUAAUCACAAUGAUACAUAAAAUAUAUUGAAUUUUAAUGUUUCUAAUUGCAGCAAACUUUUGACUUUGGGGACUACAAUAAUGAUGUGGAUGUGAGAUGUAUUAUUGAUCAGAAGUGCCAAAAUUUAUAAACUAAAUAGAAAAGUAGAUCACACACGCACUACAAAUCCCUUAAAGAAGACAAAGAAUCCGACCUCAAAAGUCAUACAUUAUAUCCUUGUACACAGGAUGAUUGGAAAUUGAUGAUUGACAAUCUAUG